AGAAGGGGUUCCCCUUUGGGGAAGAAAACGAAGGGGAAGAAAACGAAGGGGAUGAACCAAAGUCUUCCCCAAAGUCUUCGUCCCCUUUAGGGGAACUAAAGGGGACGAAGACUUUGGGGGUGUGUUCCCCUUCGGGGAGACGAAUAAGAGACUUUGGGGAUGACUUCAUCCCCUAAAGGGGAACUUUAGUUCAUCCCCUAAAGGGGAACUUUAGUUCCCCUUUAGGGGAAGAAGAAGAACACUAAAGGGGAAGAAGAAGACAACAAACUUAGUCUAACCCCGAAGGGUUACAUCCCCUUUGUUUCCCCUUUAGGGGACGACUCCCCUUCGGUUCCCCUUUAGGGGAUGAAAACAAAGGGGACGGGAACUAAAGGGAAUGACAUCCCCGAAGGGGAACCCCUUCUUCAUCCCCUAAAGGGGAACCGUAGGGGAGUUCUUCCCCUAAAGGGGAACUUUAGGGGAUGAGCCCUAGGGGACUAAGACCAGAGGGGGUACAGGGGUUCUUCCCCUUUAGGGGAAGCGCUUAUUGUGGCUUAAGGAAGCUAGUUGUUACGGGCCGUUGGCCGGAUAGACAAAAUUUUGUGGUAUUUACGCUUUCGUGACUAACGCGCUAAAUAAGGGAGGCUUUGCCCUAUGUUAUUUGUUAAGAAUCUUGACAACUUACAAGGUCAAUCACCAUGUUAAGCACGCCAAAAAAACUAGUUUUAGGUGAAAACCNGUGUUACCUCUUUUUUUUUCAGGGAUAGGUUCCUCAACGGCUUUUUU
rnacentral:lncRNA from 1 species